rnacentral:rRNA from 1 species
GACGAACGCUGGCGGCGUGCCUAAUACAUGCAAGUAGAACGCUGAAGCGAGGCGCUUGCUCUUCUUGGAUGAGUUGCGAACGGGUGAGUAACGCGUAGGUAACCUGCCUGGUAGCGGGGGAUAACUAUUGGAAACGAUAGCUAAUACCGCAUAAAAUUGAUUAUCGCAUGAUAAUUAAUUGAAAGAUGCAACUGCAUCACUACCACAUGGACCUUCGGUGUAUUAGCUAGUUGGUGAGGUAACGGCUCACCAAGGCGACGAUACAUAGCCGACCUGAGAGGGUGAGCGGCCAGACUGGGAGGGAGACACGGCCCAGUCGGCUACGGGAGGCAGCAGUAGGGAAUCUGCGGCAAUGGGGGGAACACUGACCGAGCAACGCCGAGGGAGUGAAGAAGGUUGUCGGAUCGGAAAGCUCUGUUGUAAGAGAAGAACGGGUGUGAGAGUGGAAAGUUCACAGUGUGACGGUAUCUUACCAGAAAGGGACGGCUAACUACGUG